rnacentral:lncRNA from 1 species
GACUUCGGGCCCUCUGUGAGCCUCUGUCCGCCAAGGCGAUGGAGCUGUGUUUGGAGUCCCUCGUCUUUGGCAGCGGCUGGGGCCAAAGCCCGGGCAAGACCAACGCCUUCGGCACCCGGACUCAGGCUCCGUCCUCUCUGCCAGCGUGCGGCUACAAUGACUCGACAUGGCAGGUGGGCAAGCACAGCACGCCCCAACAGACAUGCUUUAUUUAAUAUGUACUAAAAAUACAGCAGGCCUGUGAAACCCACAGGUGCAAUUGCUUAAAAUGAGGCUAAGGUAGACGUGUGAAUGGUUAAUAAUGAGUUGAUUAAAAUAUUCAGAAAUCAUCUACUGGAGACGGGCAAACUGCAAAAUGGUAGCAUGGGAGCAACUGAUGUUCGAGAAAGCCCAGGCUCCGGCAAGCCGUGGGUUUGAAUUUACACAUGCGCACAUAAUGGGUAUGAAUAAACCUUUCUUCAAAAAAACACCCCAAGGUCCGCAAACCUGACAACUUCGGAGGCCACUGCCUUCAGAGAAGGUGACAGAGGGCCAUGUCUGAAACAUUCUCCCACAACCAGGAACCCUCAGCAGCCGCUGAAGAGGAAAGGCAGUUAAAUGGAAAGACUUCUGAGCAAGUGGAGGAAAAGUCACGUGUGACCUAGGGAGGGGCUCCCACAGGAAGGGGCAAUGCCCUUGCCCUGUUCACCUAGCCUCCAGGUGGCUUCCCACUUGAAAUUUCAGAGGAUGGCAGAAACCUACUUACAAGGAAAUGAAAGAGGGCACAGCAACCUUAAGACCAGAGCAGCCCACGAUAUUUUUUAAUGAGGGCAAAAAUAGAAGACUUGCA